AAGGGCACCACAACAACGCGUGGAGCAUGUGGCUUAAUUUGACUCAACGCGGGAAAUCUUACCGGGUCCGGACACACUGAGGAUUGACAGGCAAUAUUAAUUUCGUAUUUCGGUACGUUAUUAUGUUAAAUAUGCUAGUCCUUUCAUGAUUAUGUGAUAGGUGGUGCAUGGCCGUUCUUAGUUCGUGGAGUGAUCUGUCUGCUUAAUUGCGUUUCACUAAGGGCCUAUAAAUUUACGUGUGUUGCGGCACUUUGACCCCUCUUUUUUUAUUAAAAGAGCGCGCGUCUUAGUUUGCUUAGCUCACACAAUUAGGUCCUGAAAGCAACGAACGUGACCGCAACCUCUUGUUGCCUUUAUACCAAACAUGAUAUACUCUUCUGAGUACUUCAUGAAAAAAGGCUUUUUAAACUAGAGGGACCGCUGUUACUUUCUUAAACCAGAGGAAGGUUGCGGCAAUAACAGGUCUGUGAUGCCCUUAGAUGUUCCGGGCUGCACACGUGCUACAAUGAUUAUUGCAGUGAGCAUCUCAUUUUUUACACACCGCAUACGCGAGUCCAUUUAUUCACUCUCGGGUGCUUUAAAUGUGUAUCUCUGCGAGCGGUAAAGCCUGCUUCGAAAGUAAGUGGGUAAUCAAUUAGAAGUAAUGAUUUCCUUUUUUUAGCACACAUAUAUACGGCGUUUAUACCCGGGCUGCCUUGUUGUAGCUUUUGUGCGUAUAGAUGUUUUUUCCGUAUGUGCGAUUGUCAAUUCAUGGUGGGGACAGACCAUUGUUAAUUGUUGGUCUCGGUCUUAACUAGGAAUGCCUUGUACGGGUCUUUGGUUCAACAAACCACCCGGAAUACGUCCCUGCCCUUUGUACACACCGCCCGUCGCUCUUACCGAUGGACUUCUCUGUGAGUUUGAGGGACUGGGAACGCAGAUUUUAUUAUCAGCACACCUAUGGAAACUUAAACGAACAGUGUGGUCUAAAGGAAAGAGAAGUCGUAACAAGGCAUCGGUAGGUGAACCUGCAGAAGGAUCA
rnacentral:rRNA from 1 species